rnacentral:tRNA from 1 species
UGUGGCUCAGUGGUAGAGUGUUUGCCUAGCAUGCAGGAACCCCUGGGUUUAAUUCCCAACA